GGAAAAGCCUCUCGAAUGAGGAGGAAAUACUUUAGAUGUUUGCAUUUGGCACACAAGUGAGGCCUCUUUUGCCUAGGGAGGAAGCCAGUGGCAUGUGCCUGACUCCUGGGUAGGCAGAUACCCUCCAGCUGUGGAGUUACGUUGGCAUUUCUUGAAGAUGCGACGACUGCAUGGACAAGCGUCAUUCGGACCUGAGGGAGACUGACGUUCUGGGAUCUGCUACCGUUCACUUCCUUGCUAUGCAGUGAAAACUAUAUUGAAAGUUGAAAUAAACAGACAUAUUUCUA